UUGGCGCAUGAUGGCCAUCCAUAGAUUACACGCAGAAACCAGCACCACCACUUUGCUUCCUGUUGCUCUUGGCACCAACUAUUUUCCUAUAUAAAUGUACAGCCUACUUGUCUUCUCAACUCAAUCCAAGGUAAUAGUAGUCUUGCAUGAUUCUUUUCAAGAUUUUACAUCCAAGAUUAAUAUAGCUGUUGAACGUCUACAAGGAGCAUCAUCCUCUACCCUCACACCCUGCAAUAGUGCACUACUUCAGCUUGUGAAGAAGAAGAAGAAGAAGAAGA